GACGAACGCUGGCGGCGUGCCUAAUACAUGCAAGUCGAGCGGACGUUUUAUUGGUGCUUGCACCGAUUUAACGUUAGCGGCGGACGGGUGAGUAACACGUGGGCAACCUGCCCUGUAGAUUGGGAUAACUCCGGGAAACCGGGGCUAAUACCAAAUAAUACUUUUUAACUCAUGUUAGAAAGUUGAAAGAUGGUUCUGCUAUCACUACAGGAUGGGCCCGCGGCGCAUUAGCUAGUUGGUGAGGUAAUGGCUCACCAAGGCGACGAUGCGUAGCCGACCUGAGAGGGUGAUCGGCCACACUGGGACUGAGACACGGCCCAGACUCCUACGGGAGGCAGCAGUAGGGAAUCUUCCACAAUGGGCGAAAGCCUGAUGGAGCAACGCCGCGUGAGUGAAGAAGGAUUUCGGUUCGUAAAACUCUGUUGUAAGGGAAGAACAAGUAGCGUAGUAACUGGCGCUACCUUGACGGUACCUUAUUAGAAAGCCACGGCUAACUACGUGCCAGCAGCCGCGGUAACAC
rnacentral:rRNA from 1 species